rnacentral:rRNA from 1 species
UGCGUAGGCGGCCCUAUAAGUAUGGUGUGAAAUCUCCCGGCUUAACUGGGAGGGUGCGCUAUAGACUGUGGGGCUAGAGGGUGGGAGAGGAAAGUGGAAUUCCUGGUGUAGCGGUGAAAUGCGUAGAUAUCAGGAGGAACACCGGUGGUGUAAACGGCUUUCUGGACCACUUCUGACGCUGAGGCACGAAAGCGUGGGUAGCAAGCA